rnacentral:rRNA from 1 species
GAUGAACGCUGGCGGCGUGCCUAAUACAUGCAAGUCGAGCGAACGGACGAGAAGCUUGCUUCUCUGAUGUUAGCGGCGGACGGGUGAGUAACACGUGGAUAACCUACCUAUAAGACUGGGAUAACUUCGGGAAACCGUAGCUAAUACCGGAUAAUAUUUUGAACCGCAUGGUUCAAAAGUGAAAGACGGUCUUGCUGUCACUUAUAGAUGGAUCCGCGCUGCAUUAGCUAGUUGGUAAGGUAACGGCUUACCAAGGCAACGAUGCAUAGCCGACCUGAGAGGGUGAUCGGCCACACUGGAACUGAGACACGGUCCAGACUCCUACGGGAGCCAGCAGUAGGGAAUCUUCCGCAAUGGGCGAAAGCCUGACGGAGCAACGCCGCGUGAGUGAUGAAGGUCUUCGGAUCGUAAAACUCUGUUAUUAGGGUAGAACAUAUGUGUAAGUAACUGUGCACAUCUUGACGGUACCUAAUCAGAAAGCCACGGCUAAUUACGUG